AGGUAAUGGUGCAGCCAAGGAUGACUUGCCGAAAUACUCUCUUAUAUGUAAUACAUAUAUGUAUAUGGUAGAUGCAGCCGGCGAGCUGUUCUUGGCUACAUUUCUACCCCA
rnacentral:pre_miRNA from 9 species